GACUGAAAGCUUGGGUUUGGGAGGUUGCUAAUUUGGGUUUUAGAUCUGGGGUUCAUUAUAUUUGCGAUGAAGUUAGGGUUUUAAUUUUGGGUUUUGAUGAAAUUGUAAUCAAGAAAGGGAUUUUGGGUUUGGGUUUUAUUGAUUGUUAGGCUAAAAAUUAGGGUUUUGAUGAAUUUUGUUUAGUUUUAUGAAUUUUUUAUGAUAUGGGUUUCUUUAAUUUUAGGGUAAAUUUAAGGUUUUUAUCUACGGGUACCUUAAAUUUAUGAAGAUAAUAAAGAGGGUUCAUU
rnacentral:lncRNA from 1 species